GGGAUACCUGUUUAGGUGAGGAAAUGUUUAUAAUUAUAAGUUAUUUUCUUUUCCUUUAAUUCCCUUCCCAAGUGCCGUUUUCCCCAAACCCGACGCCGAUCUCCUCCUCCCCGAUUCCCUCUGCCCGAGCCCCUCUCCGGCGAUUUCUCCUCUCCGCCUCUCGGUGUCGCCGGCGCAAGCAACCACCGGAGCUUUGCAGGGCGGGUUCUCCGUCCUCUCCCUCUUGAGGUGUGGAUCCCUCCUCCCUUCCUCUCCCUCCUCUUCCUGCCCUAGAUCGCCGACGGAGAGGUCUCGUCCACUGCGAUUGAGUUCUUGCUGAGUUACCGGAGAUAGGACGUUGGAGCUCGAAGGGUACCAAUCAUCUCCGGCAGAGUAGGCAUCCUGGUGGUUGUUUCUUGCGAGCGAUCGAGGUGAUCCGGCGGAGCUAGGGCACGGCAGCGGGGGAAUUGGUUCGCAUCUCUCUCGGUAGAUUGAGCUCUCUCAGUUCUUCUCCUCUAUCUGUUCACUGGAGUUUGACUUGCAACUCCAAAAUUGCUGGAUCGAAGUGGGCGACAUCACCAGGGAGAGUUUAAUUGAGAGGAAGCAUUGGACCAGUAUGUGGUGGAUCUUCCCAGUUGCCGGUCACUGCCAAGUCCAUUUCUUGGAGUUGUGGAGGUCUCGGCUGAAGAGUUAGGGAUCUGUUUGAGCUUCUGGCAGUGGGUUGUAGGGUUGUUAGCUACUGGUUUGCUGCCAUCCCUCAAGGUAAGUGUCUACCACUAGUUUUCUUCUUAGUGUGAAAUUGAUUCAUGGUUAAGGAAUUGGAAUUUAGCUUUGAUAUAUUGAUUUGGAUUGAAUCUUGGGCUGGUUAGCGGAUUUAGAAGGCUUUGUGAUGAGUUUGGAUUAGUGUUUGAUUGAUGAUGAAUUAUGUGGAAGAAUUUUGUGUGUUGGAUUUAUGAUGU